AUAUUGGACAAUGGGCGCAAGCCUGAUCCAGCCAUGCCGCGUGAGUGAAGAAGGCCUUCGGGUUGUAAAGCUCUUUUGUCCGGAAAGAAAAGCCUUGGGUUAAUACCCUGAGGUUCUGACGGUACCGGAAGAAUAAGCACCGGCUAACUUCGUGCCAGCAGCCGCGGUAAUACGAAGGGUGCAAGCGUUGUUCGGAGUGACUGGGCGUAAAGGGCGCGUAGGCAGGAGAGUAAGAAGAUUGUGAAAACCCUGGGCUUAACCUGGGACGUGCAGUUUUGACUGCUUUUCUUGAAUGUCUGAGAGGUUAGUGGAAUUACAGGUGUAGGAGUGAAAUCCGUAGAUAUCUGUAGGAACACCGGAGGCGAAGGCGGCUAACUGGUGGAGCAUUGACGCUGAGGCGCGAAAGCGCGGGUAGCAAA
rnacentral:rRNA from 1 species